rnacentral:rRNA from 1 species
UACGGGGGGGGCAAGCGUUGUUCGGAAUUACUGGGCGUAAAGGGCUCGUAGGCGGCCAACUAAGUCGGACGUGAAAUCCCUCGGCUCAACCGGGGAACUGCGUCCGAUACUGGAUGGCUUGAGUUCGGGAGAGGGAUGCGGAAUUCCAGGUGUAGCGGUGAAAUGCGUAGAUAUCUGGAGGAACACCGGUGGCGAAGGCGGCAUCCUGGACCGACACUGACGCUGAGGAGCGAAAGCCAGGGGGGCAAACGGG